rnacentral:sRNA from 1 species
CUCCCAGCAGAAGAGGAGAGGAGGUUGUGUGGGACAAGUUGCUCCCGACAGAAGGAUGUCGCUGCUGAGCCUGCCCUGGCUGGGCCUCAGACAGGUGGCAAUAUCCCCAUGGCUACUCCUGCUGCUGGUUGUGGGCUCCUGGCUACUCACCCGCAUCCUGGCUUGGACCUAUGCCUUCUAUAACAACUGCCGCCGGCUCCAGUGUUUCCCACAGCCCCCAAAACGGAACUGGUUUUGGGGUCACCUGGGCCUGAUCACUCCUACAGAGGAGGGCUUGAAGGACUCGACCCAGAUGUCAGCCACCUAUUCCCAGGGCUUUACGCUGCCAUUGCACUCAAGGAUGAUCUCUCCAUCAGGUUCCUGAAGCCCUGGCUGGGUGAGUACCUGCAGGUGAAAGGGGUUGGGGACAACCUUGCAGGGACGGUAGGGGAAGUGCUGCUCUUGCCCACUGUCCUUGGCUGCCCUGCCAGGGGAUGGGCUCCUGCUGAGUGGCGUUGACAAGUGGAGCCGCCACCGUCGGAUGCUGACACCCGCCUUCCAUUUCAACAUCCUGAAGUCCUAUAUAACGAUCUUCAACAAGAGUGCAAACAUCAUGCUUGACAAGUGGCAGCACCUGGCCUCAGAGGGCAGCAGUCGUCUGGACAUGUUUGAGCACAUCAGCCUCAUGACCUUGGACAGUCUGCAGAAAUGCAUCUUCAGCUUUGACAGCCAUUGUCAGGAGAGGCCCAGUGAAUAUAUUGCCACCAUCUUGGAGCUCAGUGCCCUUGUAGAAAAAAGAAACCAGCAUAUCCUCCAGCACAUGGACUUUCUGUAUUACCUCUCCCAUGACGGGCGGCGCUUCCACAGGGCCUGCCGCCUGGUGCAUGACUUCACAGACGCUGUCAUCCGGGAGCGGCGUCGCACCCUCCCCACUCAGGGUAUUGAUGAUUUUCUCAAAGACAAAGCCAAGUCCAAGACUUUGGAUUUCAUUGAUGUGCUUCUGCUGAGCAAGGAUGAAGAUGGGAAGGCAUUGUCAGAUGAGGAUAUAAGAGCAGAGGCUGACACCUUCAUGUUUGGAGGCCAUGACACCACGGCCAGUGGCCUCUCCUGGGUCCUGUACAACCUUGCGAGGCACCCAGAGUACCAGGAGCGCUGCCGACAGGAGGUGCAAGAGCUUCUGAAGGACCGCGAUCCUAAAGAGAUUGAAUGGGACGACCUGGCCCAGCUGCCCUUCCUGACCAUGUGCGUGAAGGAGAGCCUGAGGUUACAUCCCCCAGCUCCCUUCAUCUCCCGAUGCUGCACCCAGGACAUUGUUCUCCCAGAUGGCCGAGUCAUCCCCAAAGGCAUUACCUGCGUCAUCAAUAUUAUAGGGGUCCAUCACAACCCAACUGUGUGGCCGGAUCCUGAGGUGCUGCCUUCCCCAUUCACCACCACCACCCCUAUCCUCUACUUUUGUGUGUGUGUGUGUGAAUUCCAAGGUUCCUAGUGGAGGGGGCAGGGUUUUGAUGAGGAAAAUCCAACAUCACCUUGCCCCAAAACACACACAACUGUCUCUCCAAGGCUGCUGGACAUAGGAAAUCCCACGGGCGAACCUUCUUUGUCUCACCUGCAGGUCUACGACCCCUUCCGCUUUGACCCAGAGAACAGCAAGGGGAGGUCCCCUCUGGCUUUUAUUCCGUUCUCCGCAGGGCCCAGGAACUGCAUCGGGCAGGCGUUCGCCAUGGCGGAGAUGAAAGUGGUCCUGGCGUUGAUGCUGCUGCACUUCCGGUUCCUGCCAGACCACACUGAGCCCCGCAGGAAGCCGGAACUGAUCAUGCGCGCCGAGGGCGGGCUUUGGCUGCGGGUGGAGCACCUGAAUGUAGGCUUGCAGUGACUUUCUGACCCAUCCACCUGUCUUUUUGCAGAUUGUCAUGAAUAAAACGGUGCUGUCACCUCU